rnacentral:tRNA from 1 species
GCCCUCAUCGUCUAGCUGGUCUAGGACACUGCCCUCUCACGGCAGAGAUCGCGGGUUCGAACCCCGCUGGGGGUG